GCGUUGUCGUCAGCUCGUGUCGUGAGAUGUUGGGUUAAGUCCCGCAACGAGCGCAACCCCUUGUCUUAGUUGCCAUCAUUUAGUUGGGCACUCUAAAGAGACUGCCGGUGUCAAACCGGAGGAAGGUGGGGAUGACGUCAAGUCCUCAUGGCCUUUAUGACCAGGGCUACACACGUACUACAAUGGCCGGUACAAAGGGCAGCCACUUAGCGAUAAGGAGCCAAUCCCGUAAAGCCGGUCUCAGUCCGGAUUGGAGUCUGCAACUCGACUCCAUGAAGUUGGAAUCGCUAGUAAUCGCAGAUCAGCACGCUCGCGGUCGAAUACGUUCCCGGGCCUU
rnacentral:rRNA from 1 species